rnacentral:rRNA from 1 species
GACGAACGCUGGCGGCGUGCUUAACACAUGCAAGUCGAACGGAAAGGCCUCUUUCGGGGGGUACUCGAGUGGCGAACGGGUGAGUAACACGUGAGUAACCUGCCCUUGACUUUGGGAUAACUUCAGGAAACUGGGGCUAAUACCGGAUAGGAGCUCCUGCUGCAUGGUGGGGGUUGGAAAGUUUCGGCGGUUGGGGAUGGACUCGCGGCUUAUCAGCUUGUUGGUGGGGUAGUGGCUUACCAAGGCUUUGACGGGUAGCCGGCCUGAGAGGGUGACCGGCCACAUUGGGACUGAGAUACGGCCCAGACUCCUACGGGAGGCAGCAGGGGGGAAUAUUGCACAAUGGGUGGAAGCCUGAUGCAGCAACGCCGUGGGCGGGAGGACGGCCUUCGGGUUGUAAACCGCUUUCGCUCAUGACGAAGCUUUGUGUGACGGUAGUGGGUAAAGAAGCACCGGCUAACUACGUG